rnacentral:lncRNA from 1 species
AGCAGAUUAAAUCAUAAUGGUUCUUAUUAAUUAUUAGUAUUAUUAUGUAAUGUGCUAUGGAACUUAGAGAAAUAGACUACUUCUGGCUUGUUAAAUUUUAUGGGCAAAGAGGGGGAUUAUUAAUUGUUUGUAGUAAAUUAAAGGAGCAUUGUCAGAUUCUCAAGUUUUGUAUGGGUUUUUGGUAUAUUUAAUAUUAGGCCA